rnacentral:rRNA from 1 species
AACGGAGGGUGCAAGCGUUGCUCGGAAUCACUGGGCGUAAAGCGUACGCAGGCGGCUCGAUAAGUCGGGUGUGAAAGCCCGGGGCUCAACACCGGAAUUGCGCCCGAUACUGCCGAGCUUGAGUACGGGAGAGGGAUAGCGGAAUUCCUGGUGUAGAGGUGAAAUUCGUAGAGAUCAGGAGGAACACCAGUGGCGAAAGCGGCUUCCUGGCCCGAUACUGACGCUCAUGUACGAAAGAGUGGGGAGCAAACAGG